AAGCUGAAAGGAUUCAGAUGUUUUUAUAUGAGAUUUCAAGCAUUAAUAAUGACUGUGUGAUCAUGGUUUUGGAAAACUAAGAAUAUAUUUCCUGGCUACAUAUGCAGAUAUAUGUUUCUUAAGACAAGCAAGAAUGAAGUCAUUUUGAUCUCUGAUGGAUGAAACCCAUUGGAAUGGAAACUAACAUCUAUGAAGAAGAACAGGGCUCACCUUAUCUUAUAUCUGCUGAGUGCCUGGGAACUCCAAAGGAAGCCAAAUAUGAAGAAUACCAAAGAAAGACAGAAAAUCAGACAAGUCCAUAUGAAUUUCCGAAUCUAUUACUGGAACCUGAGCUGAGCUUGCCAUCUGUGUCAUCCUUACUGGACCAAAAUGAGACAUCCUUACAACUUGGCAUGGCUGCAGGGCGUGCCAGUGCCACCAACCAGCCAGAAACAAAGCACCUUUGUGAAGAAUUAUCCUGUUCUACAAGGCACUCAUCAAAGGAAGAUCCUUUAAACCUUCCCAUGCACACAGAAUGGCCAGUCCUCACAGGAAAAAAUUCACACCAGAAUCCAGGAGCAAAUUAUGAGAUCAGAGUCAUAGAACACAAACCAUGUGCUAUCACAUUUUCUGAUUUUCAAUUUUUAUCACAUGAAGCUGGCACUAAGCUCCAUAUUUGCGAGGCUGGAGAAGCAGAAGAUUUUUCUUCUGAAGAGGAAGAAGCAGAUAACAGAGGUGAUCAUGACGCAUUUACAGAACUGCCACUGUAUGAGGCAUUUUUCAAAGGCCUUCAGAGAAGGAAUGUUUCCCAAAGAAAGCAAGCUAAACAUGAACUUACUAAAUAUCAGCACACCUGUCAUUUAGAAGACUGCAGUAAUCAUUCUGAAAAGGCAUUGAAGGACCAUGACAAAGAAGAAAAACACAUGGAGCUGGAGGUGAGGAAAAGACACUGAUGUCUUUGAAGAGCUCCAGAGGGAGAUCCCAUCUGAUUAAGUGCAGGCAUUAAAGAAACUUAAGACAAUAAAAAGAAAAAUGUGCCUCCUUACUCA
rnacentral:lncRNA from 1 species